rnacentral:rRNA from 1 species
UGGGGAAUAUUGCACAAUGGGCGCAAGCCUGAUGCAGCAACGCCGCGUGGGUGAUGACGGUCUUCGGAUUGUAAAGCUCUGUCUUUGGGGACGCGGUACCCAAGGAGGAAGCCACGGCUAACUACGUGCCAGCAGCCGCGGUAAUACGUAGGUGGCAAGCGUUGUCCGGAUUUACUGGGCGUAGAGGGAGCGUAGGCGGAUUUUUAAGUGGGAUGUGAAAUACCCGGGCUCAACCUGGGUGCUGCAUUCCAAACUGGAAAUCUAGAGUGCAGGAGGGGAGAGUGGAAUUCCUAGUGUAGCGGUGAAAUGCGUAGAGAUUAGGAAGAACACCAGUGGCGAAGGCGACUCUCUGGACUGUAACUGACGCUGAGGCUCGAAAGCGUGGGGAGCAAACAGGAUUAGAUACCCAGUAGU